UAGAGACUCAGAGCUGCAUAUCAAUAAGCGGAGGAAAAGAAACUAACUAGGAUUCCCUUAGUAACGGCGAGUGAAGCGGGAAGAGCUCAAAUUUGAAAUCUUCAAGGUUUUACCUUGACGAAUUGUAGUUUAAAGAAGUGUUUUCUGUUGGAGUUUUGGUAAAAGUUCCUUGGAAAGGGACAUCAUAGAGGGUGAGAAUCCCGUAUUUGGUAUCCAUUAUCUCAGCUUUGUGAUACACUUUCAAAGAGUCGGAUUGUUUGGGAAUGCAGUCCAAAAUGGGUGGUAAAUUUCAUCUAAAGCUAAAGUACUGGCGAGAGACCGAUAGCGAACAAGUACCGUGAGGGAAAGAUGAAAAGAACUUUGAAAAGAGAGUUAAACAGUACGUGAAAUUGUCAAAAGGGAAGCGUUUGACACCAGUGUUGUUUUUCCGAAAAUCAAUUACGAAUGUCUUGAUUUUGAGGAUUGUAUUGACCUUAUCAGGCUUGCUUCACUUUCUUUACGAAUCUUUCUUAAUGCACUUUUCGGUUAACAAGUCAACAUCAAUUUCUUUUGUUGUAAAAGGAGUAUGCGGAAGGUGGCUUUCUUUUCGGAGAAAGUGUUUAUAGCCCUAUACUUCUACAAUCGGAGAGAUUGAGGUCUGCAGCGUAGAUCCUUCGGGGUUAGAUACACUUGUGCUAAGUUGUAGCUUUUCAUAGACAACUUGUUGACUAUGUUUAGUCAUGCGGCUUACUCGCUUAGGCUAUUUUACCUACGCUUAGGAUGUUGACGAUCAGCUGAGCGCG
rnacentral:rRNA from 1 species